AUAGCUUGGUGGCAGAGCAUUUGACUGCAGAUCAAGAGGUCACCGGUCCGAACCGGUU
rfam:Brassica napus, WGS project CCCW01000000 data, contig: 12249